GCAAAGUGAGGUCAAACUUAGACCUUGUGGUAUCGGCUUAUGUAUGGGGUGAUUCUGUUAGGUCACAACUGUUCAUUGACUUAAUUUCUAAAAGCCAGAGACUGGGCUGACCCUGGAUCCCCUCCGUAUAAUGAAAGCAAAGAGGUAAUUAGGGCAUUCCUCAGACCAAAAGAACAAUCACCAUCCACCGCCUUUAACCUGCUGAGAGCAAGAAGAGGCCGAUUCAUGUGCUGAUUCAAACAAUUAAUUAAUUGAAGAAGAGAAUGCUGGGAAAAGACGCGAAUGCUGGGAGAGGAUCCACCUCCAGUGGCCAGAAAUGUCAGCCUGAAUCUAUGACUAGAGAAUACUUGUGUUUCAGAUGCUCUGGAGCUGGCCCAGGAAAAGAAGAAACUCUCAGAAAACCUUACCGGAGAAGGGAAAGGUGCAGCUCCUCUGCCAAGAAUGUCCCUCCUGCCAGACUCUGCUAAGCACAUGCCUGAUCAUCCUUCUCGACCUAUAUGUUGUAUCCUUGAGUUUCCAUAGGCCCUUGGUGGCAACUCUGUUAAGCAAUGGUAUGAGAAAGUCCUUUUGCAAUUUUCAACUGGAGAUGGAAUUGUAAAAGUUAAUUGACUUGGCAAACGGGUUCACAAGGUAAGUAAUAUUCAAAGGCAGAGUACAGCCUUUAUGUGCCAUGGCACAGAGGAAGUCUAAGUGAAGCCUCAUUCUCAAAC